rnacentral:lncRNA from 1 species
GUUAGUUUAUUUAAAAAGAAUUAAUUUAGUCACAUGAGAUUUAAGAAUGCACCUUAAUUAAUAGACUCAUAUUUUACAAGCCAAAUAAUCCUUGAUUUAGUAUGUAUAUACCUUUUAGCCAUUAAUCGUUUUACAUCGUUUAAAAUUCAAGUAUGUCUUUGUUUUACAUCAUCAACUAGAAUUUAGAGUAAUUUAUUAAGGCUAUCUGUCAUCUUCAAUUAGAAUUUGGGAAUUAAUAUCUACACAAGAAAUUGGGUGUAAGUCCGUUAGAAUGUUUUUUUUUCUCGUUAGAAUGUUUUUAAGUGGUAGUCAAUAUAGUCC